rnacentral:lncRNA from 1 species
CGUCCUUAAAAAAUUGAAGUAAAAGAAAUGAAACUCCGUCUGUUUUCUAUUUGAAAGUUUGUCCAAAACAGUGGAAGUUCCAUUCUAGGAAAUUUGGAAGUUUUUGCCAAAAAAAAUUGGUUGCCCGUCCAAAAUUAUGAUAGUUUUGUCGAUAAGUAUAGAAAACUUAUCCACGAGAGUCUGAAAGUUUGUCAACAAUUGUCAAAAAGUUCAACCACGACUUUAAAAUUUCACUAAAUAAAAUUCAAUACAAAACCAAUUGAUGAAACUUCAUAGAAACAUUUACUCCCGUUCGGAAAGGUUAUAAUAACCAUGUACACUAACUGUUCACUGGACGGUUAUAAAAAAAGGAUUUUCGUACACAAUGAAAAAAUCACUCAUAGUGAAACAUAAUGCCAUUUAGUUUUUUAAAACACUGGCCUGCAAGACAAAGCAAUAAAGUAAUUUCACAACGUCUUUCCCAUGGGAAAAAAUGCAAGCUACCACCCUUGAAGUAGUUUGGAAAACCUGAAGAAAAAAGGUGUUCCAACAACCAGAAUCAAAUAAAAAACAUGUCAUGCAUGAUACAAAACUUAAUAGAUUUAAAACAAACAGAAAAAUACACAUAUAUCAUUAGAUUCCCAACUAGCAUAACAAAACAAGAUAAUUAUUCAUACAAACUAACACUUCUGACUAGCAGUUCUCCAAACACUGACAAGAUACAUACUAGUAAUUGUCCACGAGACAACAAACUACUUAAAAUGCAUAGACAUCGGCUUCUUCAAUUCCUCUCGCUUUGAUAAUCUCAAUGUCCAACAUGAUGCACGGUUCUUCUUUCCCAAUCUUGAUGAGAACUGUGCUGCCAGCAUUGAUCCCGAAAUACCGAUGUAAGUCCUUCCACACACCAUUGAUCACUGUCUUCAUUGAUUUGCCGGAGAUGUAUGAGCCAGUCAUCGAGAUCGCAAAAUCCCUAAAGUGAAAUAUAACAAGACCAUGUGUUGGCAGUUCAAGCCAAAAAGUCACAUAUGAUGGGAUCACCUACAAAAAACACAUCCUAGGUUAGCUCUUCAAAAACAAUAAGGCGUAGAAAAAUUAUACUGCUUCCUACGACUGCUAUAAAAUAAAUUAAAAACAUGUGAUUAAAAAAGAAGAAGUGAAAUAACAUAAAUAACAUGAUAAUACUUGUAAUUAAUACCCUACAAGAAUAAAAGAAAAGUGUACUAACCAAGCACCCAGAUGCAAUGUCUGCAGCUGUCAUCUUGUGAGCAAUGUAAAAAUGGUCUUGAUAGUCUUCGGUAAACUCUCUCGUUGACAAAGAUUGCGCUAUUUUUCCAACAUCACCCUCACUCAAAGAUGCCAUGUCUGUGAAGAUGGUGCCAUGUAGCUUGUGCCGCUUCCAAUCAUUCAUUUCGUGAAUAGCUGAAAAACAUAUGAGAAAAAUAACAAAAUAAAUUUUAACAAAUUAAUCCACAAACAUGUUACGCAAGUUAAAAUGGUAAAUGAAAAAAAUGUAACAAAGGAAACGUACUAGGUAUAUAUGACAUGGAUUUUUGCACUUUAUUCUCAUCAGACACAGUAACAUCAAACAUGCAGCCAAAAGCAUUUGUGGAGAACAAAACUACAUCACCAUCCUCAAGCUUGUACACUUUUGCGAAACUCCUCCAAUAUGCUCCACAAAGAACGGUGGUAACAUUAUUCCUGUGGAUGUACACAUCAAACUUAAACCCGCCUGAGUUCAUAACUAGAAAGCUUGCAGCAAAAUCAUUCAAUCGCUCUCUAAAAUAGCAAGGCACAACCUACAGAAAAAAAGAUCGCACAAAAAAUGAAACCACAUGAAAAAAAAGGACACAACAAAAUCAUCGAAAAAGCAAAACAAGAAUAUGAUAAUGAGCACAUACCACAUGGUCUUCAAAUGCUUGUGUCAUGGUCACACUAAAAGAAAACAAGCGGUGGUUGGACCAACGGCAAGAGCCACCCACAUUGAGAC